AUUGAACGCUGGCGGCAUGCCUUACACAUGCAAGUCGAACGGCAGCACGGGGGCAACCCUGGUGGCGAGUGGCGAACGGGUGAGUAACACAUCGGAACGUGCCCAGUAGUGGGGGAUAGCUCGGCGAAAGCCGGAUUAAUACCGCAUACGACCUACGGGUGAAAGCGGGGGAUCGCAAGACCUCGCGCUAUUGGAGCGGCCGAUGUCAGAUUAGGUUGUUGGUGGGGUAAAGGCCUACCAAGCCGACGAUCUGUAGCUGGUCUGAGAGGACGACCAGCCACACUGGGACUGAGACACGGCCCAGACUCCUACGGGAGGCAGCAGUGGGGAAUUUUGGACAAUGGGCGCAAGCCUGAUCCAGCCAUGCCGCGUGCGGGAAGAAGGCC
rnacentral:rRNA from 1 species